GAUGAAGAACGCAGUGAAAUGCGAUAAGUAAUGUGAAUUGCAGAAUUCAGUGAAUCAUCGAAUCUUUGAACGCACAUUGCGCCCCUUGGUAUUCCGAGGGGCAUGCCUGUUCGAGCGUCAUUAUAACCCCUCAAGCUCAGCUUGGUGUUGGGGCCUGCUGCACUGGCAGCCCUUAAAAUCAGUGGCGGCGCCAUCUGGCUCUAAGCGUAGUAAUUCUUCUCGCUAUGGAGUCCUGGUGGAUGCUUGCCAUCAACCCCCAAUUUUUCUAUGGUUGACCUCGGAUCAGGUAGGGAUACCCGCUGAACUUAAGCAUGUCAAUAAGCGGAGGA
rnacentral:misc_RNA from 1 species